CCAACAACCAACACCUGAGGUGCGGAACCCAGCGCCCUCGGCACCGGUUUUCUUUAAACCAGCCAGUCCGCAGCUGCGGCCAGGACAACGCACAGUGGCCUUGACGGAGGCGGGGCCCACCAGCCCUCCCUGUUCCGAGGGCCUCGCGGGGACACCCUUCCCCGGCGGGUCUGAGUAAUCCACCACUGCGCUUUCUGAGCUUCCACUGGGCGCCUCCUCUGCGUCUUUCCUGCUCCACGCAGGUCUCUGGGUAGGAAUAACCCGGAUCCGGGUCACAUGAGGGCCACCAAGGGAUUCUGCCCUCACACGCAGUGCUCCGGGCGACCACGUGGGAAUGUUUAAACCUGCUAGCGUCUGUUGUGCUGGUGGUGGACGCCUGUGAUCCCAGCACUCUGGGAGGCUGAGGCAGGAGGAUCACAAGUUGGAGCAGAGCCAAGAUCCAGUCUCAAAAAACCCCACAACAACCUGGUAAUAAGAAAUCUGGAAAAUGAAGAAUGCUUACUGAUCUCCGGGAGGUAAACAGAUGGAUUCAGCUGAUGGGGGCCUUACAACCUGGUCUCCCGUCCCCUACUAUGAUACCUAAGGAAUGGGAUAUAAUCAUUAUAGAUCUUCAAGGUUGUUUUUAUACUAUUCCUUUACAUUCUAAAGAUUGUGAACACUUUGCUUUGACUAUUCCCUCUGUUAAUCAGACUGCUCCUGCUCAGAGAUAUCAAUAAAAAGUUCUACCUCAAGGGAUGUUAAAUUUCACCCACCACGUGUCAGUACUAUGUUGGAAAGGUUAUACAACCUGUUCAUGAACAAUUUCCUUCUGCUUAUGUUAUUCACUAUAUGGAUGAUAUUUUUUUAGCAACGUCACAGGAGUUGAGUGCUUUUAAAGUUUUGCAACAACUUUCUGAUCAUGAUUUACUUAUUGCAAACUGUUCCUACUUAUAAACUCUUCCUACUUAUAAAUAUUUGGGAUAUUUCUUAGACAAACAGUAAAACCUCAAAGUGUUCAAAUUAUAAGUGAUAUUCUUAAAACAUUAAAUGAUUUUCAAAAACUCCUGGGGGACAUAAAUUGGGUCCGUCCAAUUCUUGGCAUGACCACUUACUCGCUAAUGCAUUUGUUUAGCACUCUACAGGGAGAUUCUGCCUUAGCCCACGAUCAUUAUCUUUUGAAGCUGAGACAGAACUUCAAUUUGUGAAGCAACACCUUGAAGAUGCUUUUGUCUCCCUCACUGAUCUUUCUUUACCCAUGUCAUUACUUAUGCUUGCUACUCCCUAUUUGCCAACAAAUAUUAUCACACAAGAUUCUCCUAUUGAAUGGGUUCACCUCUGUCAUAAUCCUUCAAAAUCUUUGUCUCCAUAUUUAGAUCUAAUAUGCACUCUAAUCUUUCAAGGUCGACAUAGAUAUCAAUAAAAAGUUCUACCUCAAGGGAUGUUAAAUUUCACCCACCAUGUGUCAGUACUAUGUUGGAAAGGUUAUACAUCAACUGAGAGGGUUCAAUCCAGAUGUUAUUAUUUUGCCAGUUACUCCUGAAUUAUUUAAACAGUGCUUAGAAAAUAGCAUGGAAGAACAGUCCGCCUUGGCAGAAUAUGUGGGACAAAUCGGGUGCCACUAUCCAGCUGGCAAACUUUGGGAAUUUUUGAAACAGACUCAAUGGAUUUUUACCAACAUGGUCCAAGAUGACCCUAUACCAGCU
ensembl:lncRNA